rnacentral:rRNA from 1 species
UACAGAGGUCUCAAGCGUUGUUCGGAUUCAUUGGGCGUAAAGGGCGCGUAGGCGGCGAGGUAAGUCGGGUGUGAAAUCUCAGAGCUCAACUCUGAAACUGCACUCGAUACUGCUUUGCUAGAGGACUGGAGAGGAGAUUGGAAUUCACGGUGUAGCAGUGAAAUGCGUAGAGAUCGUGAGGAAGACCAGUGGCGAAGGCGGAUCUCUGGACAGUUCCUGACGCUGAGGCACGAAGGCCAGGGGAGCAAACGGG